UGUAGUUACAGCACAAGAGAUUGUGACUGUCUGACUUGCGGAUAAGUUAAAAUUAGUAAGAGUACUGUGAGUACUCCUUUCCGUGAGGGCAUCCACUGGAUGCUUUAACUACAU
rnacentral:sRNA from 1 species